rnacentral:lncRNA from 1 species
AGCCGCAAAUUUCUUUUUGAUUUGUUCUCUUGUGAUGCCAAAAUUCAAUGUCCCUAGGCAGCUUGACUGUAUCACCCAUAAAAUGGAAGUGCAGGUAGAGAUUAUAAGUCUCCAGCCUGUAUGCAGACACACAGACAUACAGAAAAAAAAUUGGAAAAAGGCUGAAUAAUUUAAUGUUAAGUUCAUAUCUGGCAUUUUGGAGCCCUGCUGGAUAUUCCUGAGGUCCCGUCCUUAUGGAGAAAGGACUUUUAGCUGUGCCAGACAAAUGGGAAGCAAUGCACUUGUAGUAUGACUGGAUCAGCACUCCAACAGUGAAGACUUUCCCUACACUAUCACUAAACCCAGUUAGCUUAAAUGACAGGAGAUCCAAGACUCUCACAACUUUCUCCCUAACUGCAAAUCGACCAUGAACUGGAAUCUCUGGAAGUCACUUAACAGCCUGUAAUUUGUAUGAGAAACUCUCUAUUUCAAGAGAAUUUCUGCAUCUGUUUCCCCAGCAGAUACUGCCAAAAGAAGACACUUGCAGAAUUUCAGCAUCUUGCCUUCUGUUUGAAACUUCUAGGUAGAAGCACAGCCCCAUUCAACAGUUUGGACUGGAUUAGUGUUUAAAGAGCGCUUGGAGGCUACUUGAGGACAGGCACAC